rnacentral:lncRNA from 1 species
AUAGUAGUAAAGAUAUGUAUAAUAAAGGCUAGAUGUUUGGCCCGCACCGCAUUUGGCGGACAUCUUACCACGGGGAGCUCGCUCGCUCACUCGUAGUAUUGUAUUUCAAUGGUGCAUGCACUUUUAAAUAACAAUAACUUGCUCCAUUUUCUACCGAUUUUCAAACGGUUUGGUUUGUUAUAAACGUUAGAGAUGAACCUGUGACACUUAGGGUGGCCAUUCGUGCCAGUCCCGCCAGACACACCCGAACAUGUUUUCAGGUGCGUUCUCCGGAAGUCGCGUUGGUCGACCGCAUACGUCAUCGAGGUUCUCACAUUUCAGUUAAAAUACAUUAGAAAAUUAAGAUUUAUUUCUUUUAAGACAUACAAUCAUUGUAGUUUCAUUUUUACCUUGAAAUGUAACGGUUGCUUUUCUGAAAUUGAACCCGAAAUAUUAAACCUUGAUGACGUAUGAGGGUCAAUUAUUUUUGACCCUUUCGUUGUUGUAGUUGUCCGGCCUUUUAACAGUUUGUCACGUCUGUAAGUUACACAACGUCGUUUGAAAACUUUUGUUUCCAGCCAAUGUUAUGUUAUGUGUGCAUGUAUUAAGGCGUUUUUCAUUCAAUGUUACAGGAAGCUGUAAGGCGCCUUCACAAUUCGGAAAACAACCCACAUAAAUAUGAUCCACAAACUGGGUAAGACUGCUGUUUUUCUGCUAUGUUUAUUUGGCCUUUGUGGGCCAUGCUGUUUAUGGGGUUUUACAUAUUCCUUUUAAAUGUAUUUAAUGACACACUUCUCUCUUUCCACACAGAAUAAGUUUGCCUCGUAACCAAGCAGUCAUGACUUAUCAGCUAGAGGAAUUGAAAUCAACUUUUGCAGAUGCAGACCCUGAGUGUAUACAAGGUAAUUUUAAAAUGUUUGUUUAACAAUUUUAAUGUCCAUAAUUUUAGUCUCUUAUAUUUUGUCCAUCUUAUGAUUUCAAUAGUGUAGUUUCUGUCACUUAUCUGAAUUUUCUUUUAUUCAGCGUGUUGCAAGACAUACUUUGAAACACUUCGGAGAAAGUACAAUUUGUCUCAGCCAGAAAAGUCCCAGCUAAGAGAUGCCAUUAAAACAGGAGCUAAAAACCGACAAAGGAAAAGACGGUUGCUGGAUUCCAGGUCCAAGGUUGUUCAAACCGAUGCAGAGAGAGAGCUUUGGCAGACUGCAACAGUGGAGCUGAUGUCUGACGAGGAGGAUGCCAUUGUUGAUGGAAGGCCAGUGUGGAUUGUGAGGUCUCCAUCUCACAGGAACCCACAAUUGUCAGAACUUUGUGAGGAGCUUCAGCGCAGAUUGGAGGCAGACAUGCGCUACACUAUUUUGCAUCAUCAGCGUGUUAAGGCUGAUGGAAAUGGACAUGAUGGACCUUCCUUUAUUCAACUUUAACUAAACUGCACUGGUUUUGCAAUUUUAAUAAUUGCACCACAAACUGCACAUUUUCACUUAUUCUCUUCUAUUUUAUCUUAUUCUUUGUAUACUUAUUAGGUUAGAUUUAUUUAGUUUCAUAUUCUGCAACUUAUUUUCUUUUAAUAUUGUUUGUGUUUGCUGUGUUUGGUUACAUUUUAAAUACUUUGUGCUGUGUGUACAUAUUAAGUAGUUUAUUUAGUUUUAUAUUCUGUAACAGUAUAAUAUUGCUUGUGUUUAGUAAAAUUUUAUAAAAGUACUUUGCUAUGUGUACAUAUGUCACGGAUACGAACCCCGUGAGUCCCUCCAGUGGCCAGCAGAGGGCACCAUCACCCGAAUACUGACACUUACAUGCAUCCAAACACUCACGUACACUGAUACUGACUACAUUACCCAUAAGCCCCGUACCUUGGACUGAUCACCGGCCAGGUGUUCCCUAUCAGAGACUGCCAUAUAAGCCAGACCUUUGCAUCACCUCUUUGCGAGGUCUUGUUACUGCCACGGCUAACAUUUCUGAGCGUUUUACCCUGUCUUGUUUUCCCAGUUGCCUACCUCUGUUGUUUAUCGACCUGUGAACCUUUGCUGCCUACCUUUGAACCCUGAUUGUUAUACGGACUGUGAUAAUUGCUUGUUACCCCGACCCACUGCUUGGUAUUGACUACGAUUCUGAUAUUCCUGUGACACUGUGUUUGCUGAUCCUGACCCUUCGCCUGUACGACUACGAGUGUUCAAAUAAAAGCUUGCAAAUGGAUCCCAAGUCGAGUUAUUCAUCGUUACAAGUAUGAAUUGCUACAGAUCACAGUGUAGCUAACACAUGUUCAAAAGGAUCAGGAAGAUUUGAAUUUUUUGAAUUUGGAAUUUUUUAACUCAGUGACCCCAAACUUUUGAACAGUCAAGAAGCACUGACCACAAGUUCAUCAACUUUUGGUUUUGGAGGUCGUUUUUCUGUCCCAUCAUGGUUCUUCUUUUUGUCCUUGGAGCUCUUCUUGUCUUUGCUCUUCUCCUUGAGUUUGGUGCCUUUCACAGGAAAGUCAUCAGCUUUGAUCUCUGAGGUUAGGGGUGAAUGGGUAGGUACAGAUGGAAAUGAGGAAAUGAGAAACAUAUGAGCACAACACCUAUAAUGCCAGUCUGAAUGGGUGUUUGUACUGAACAAUGAUGCUUCAAGCCAUGAGAGUUAUUUUAAAUACAUAUAGAUUAUAUAGAAAUUUACUUGAUGGAUUCCCUUUAAGUAUGAAAGAACAAAUACAUUAAAAUUCAGUUGAAUUAAGAGAAUAUGUGGGAAAGUUUGUGUCCGACAUUCAUGGCAUGAAAAAUAAUAAUUAUGGUUUUAUUUCAUGACUAAAGUGGAGAUGGAUUUGGGAUGACAGUGCUUGUUCUUAACCAUAACGUUAGUUCUACUCAGGAACACUACACUGGGUCCAUGCAAAACUCUGUGGUUACCUGCACUCUCUGCUGCUAUCUCCAAAUCUUCUCUUUCCUCUGCCUCUGCCAGAGCAGCCUCCUGGGCUCUGAGAUUCUGAAUUCACAUUAAGUAUAUUGCAGUAAAAUAUUACAAUACAACACACUACAUGUGUGCAAAAAAGCUAAACGUCCCUCCCACCUCCAUCAUAGUCUCUACUGAGGCAAAGUAUUUGGACCACCAGUCCAACAUGCUCUCAUCCGGUUCCUCUUCAUCCACUUCUUCUCCCUUCUUUUUCUUCUUCUUCUUCUUCUUCUCUUUAUAUUGUCUGACAACAAGAACAAGUAAAAUAUAAUAAUAGAAACUUAGUUUUUUUUUUUAGAAUUUAGCUGCAUCCAAAUACAGUAUGUGGGCAGAGAGAGGCAAAAAAAUGUAAUAAUAAAUAAUAAAUGUGCAUUUUCAGAAGAAGUGAGCUGAAAGUGAGUCGUUCGCUGCGUGAGGUGAGUGUGUAUAUUGAUGCACCGCCGGCCUAUCAGUGGUAAACUCAGUGGCUACUGGCAAUUGUAUAGUGAAUUCCCGCGACACGUCGGUAGCCUUAUUUUGGACCGGACCGGACCGCUAUCCAGCCAUGGACGCGGUUCUUCUUGCAGCUCUAGACGGGACCGCCUUGUGGCCAGAGAUCCGUGCAUCCUCUGUUUGCGUAUC